AGCCUCAUAGCUCACGUGGCUAUAGCAUUGGCUGUACUAAAGCCUUCCUCUUGCUGUCGUAGGUUCGAAUCCUACUGAGGCCG
rnacentral:tRNA from 1 species